UACGUAGGGACCAAGCGUUGUUCGGAUUUACUGGGCGUAAAGAGUGUGUAGGCGGUGCUCUAAGUUCGGUGUGAAAUCUCCUGGCUUAACUGGGAGGGUGCGCCGGAAACUGGGGGUGCUCGAGCGUGGGAGAGGAAAGCGGAAUUCCUGGUGUGAGCGGUGGAAAUGCGUAGAUAUCAGGAGGAACACCUGUGGUGUAGACAGCUUUCUGGACCAUUGCUGACGCUGAGACACGAAAGCGUGGGUAGCAAACAGG
rnacentral:rRNA from 1 species